AUCAACUGGAAUCAACACUAAUUGUCAGGUAUGAACAAAAUGUCGAAGCUUACUGAUUUCUAUAGACAAAGGGCUAAGAAGAAUUUUGCAACAAAAGGGGACAGGAACACAAUUUUUUUUCAUCAUGCGGUUCUUAAAAGAAGAAAGAAGAACACUAUAGUUUCAAUAAAAGAUGAGAAUGAUAACAUUCACUUCAAUCCUCAGGCCAUUGCAAAUACUUUUGUUAGCUACUUCAGGAAUGUGGGCAGACCUUUUCUAGCAUCCAGGCUCCUUUCUAACAGCCAUGACUACACGUAUAGCAUACCAGAUAAGGAGGAGAUCCUUAAUACUCUCAAGGAUAUGAAGAUAAAUGCCUCUCCUGGACCCGAUGGAUUCAAUGUAGAAUUCUAUAUUGCCACUUGGAGCUGGAUUGGUGAUGAUGUUACGACUAUGGUAAGGAACUUUUACCAAACAAGUAUAAUGCCUUUGCACAUUAGCGAUACUCACAUUGCUCUUAUUCCUAAGAAGUUAGUUCCUCGAAUUCCUUCAGAUUAUCGUCCUAUAAGUCUUUGUAAUGUCAUUUACAAGAUCAUUUCCAAAACCUUGGCCAAUAGACUCAAACUUCAUCUCCCUGAUUAUAUUGAUCAUUCUCAACAAGCUUUCAUUGAGGGUAGACGCAUAUCUAACAAUAUCAUCUUGGCUUAG
rnacentral:rRNA from 1 species